GCCAGACUCCUACGGGAGGCAGCAGUGGGGGAUAUUGCACAAUGGGGGAAACCCUGAUGCAGCGACGCCGCGUGAGUGAAGAAGUAUUUCGGUAUGUAAAGCUCUAUCAGCAGGGAAGAAAAAAGACGGUACCUGACUAAGAAGCCCCGGCUAACUACGUGCCAGCAGCCGCGGUAAUACGUAGGGGGCAAGCGUUAUCCGGAUUUACUGGGUGUAAAGGGAGCGUAGACGGCAAUACAAGUCGGAAGUGAAAUACCCGGGCUCAACCUGGGAACUGCUUUGGAAACUGUAUGGCUGGAGUGCUGGAGAGGUAAGCGGAAUUCCUAGUGUAGCGGUGAAAUGCGUAGAUAUUAGGAGGAACACCAGUGGCGAAGGCGGCUUACUGGACAGUAACUGACGUUGAGGCUCGAAAGCGUGGGGAGCAAACAGGAUUAGAUACCCCCGUAAG
rnacentral:rRNA from 1 species